AAGCGAGCUUAGUUAGACUGCUAAUCUAACACCACCCAAGACUAAUCCCUUGGCUCCCU
rnacentral:tRNA from 1 species